rnacentral:rRNA from 1 species
AUUGAACGCUGGCGGCAGGCCUAACACAUGCAAGUCGAGCGAGCGGCGGACGGGUGAGUAAUGUCUGUGAAACUGCCUGAUGGAGAGGGAGAACUACUGGAAACGGUAGCUAAUACCGCGUACCAUCAGAUGUGCGCAGAUGGGAUUAGCUAGUAGGUGGGGUAACGGCUCACCCAGGCGACGAUCCCUAGCUGGUCUGAGAGGAUGACCAGCCACACUGGAACUGAGACACGGUCCAGACUCCUACGGGAGGCAGCAGUGGGGAAUAUUGGACAAUGGGCGAAAGCCUGAUGCAGCCAUGCCGCGUGUGUGAAGAAGGCCUUCGGGUUGUAAAGCACUUUCAGCGGGGAGGCGUUACCAGCAGAAGAAGCACCGGCUAACUCCGUGCCAGCAGCCGCGGUAAUUC